CGACCGGGUGAGUAACACGUGACUAACCUACCUUCAAGUGGGGGGAUAACCUCGGGAAACCGGGGCUAAUACCGCAUAAUAUCUUUGGGAUGGAAAUGCUGAAGAUCAAAGGAGCAAUUCGCUGGAAGAGGGGGUCGCGGCUGAUUAGCUAGUUGGCGGGGUAAUGGCCCACCAAGGCUUUGAUCGGUAGCCGGCCUGAGAGGGCGCACGGCCACACUGGAACUGAAACACGGUCCAG
rnacentral:rRNA from 1 species